AUUGAACGCUGGCGGCAGGCCUAACACAUGCAAGUCGAACGAGUGGCGGACGGGUGAGUAAUGUCUGGGAAACUGCCUGAUGGAGGGGGAUAACUACUGGAAACGGUAGCUAAUACCGCAUACCAUCGGAUGUGCCCAGAUGGGAUUAGGUAGUAGGUGGGGUAAAGGCUCACCUGGGCGAGGAUCCCUAGCUGGUCUGAGAGGAGGACCAGCCAAGCGGGAACUGAGACACGGUCCGGCCUCAGACGGGAGGCGGCAGUGGGGAAUAUUGCACAAUGGGCGCAAGCCUGAUGCAGCCAUGCCGCGUGUAUGAAGAAGGGCGUCGGGUUGUAAAGGACUUUCAGCGGGGAGGCGUUACCCGCAGAAGAAGCACCUGCUAACUCCGAGCCAGCAGCCGCGGUAAUUC
rnacentral:rRNA from 1 species